AAACUGUCAACUUUAUUAUUAAUUAAAUGUCAGAUUAUAGUCGGUACACAGGCUUGUGUGCAGUACCGAGGGGAGCGCUUAAAUCCGUUGCCGUCAAAGACGUCGCACACUCCUUUGAAGCGAACGCCAACUCAUAAACAUACAGAACACAUACAGAUACAGAUACAGAUACAGAUACAGAUACAGAUACAGAUACAGAUACAAGUACAGCUACAGAAACCGAAACUGACAACCAUUUCAAAGAGCUUUUUACGUACUCGCACGCUCGCUCUAACGAACACACGCAGACAGAGAUACAAAUAGACAGGCCUGCGGAGUACACUCGGAAAGUCACAAUCUCCAGCUCAGUGAGCUGGAAAUGCGAGUGGAUUCGAGUGUGCAUUAAGCGUAAUCGCAGUGGAUUUUGAAAGAUGAUUAGUCAAUCGUCAAUCGUCAAUCGAAGUCGAAGUCCAAUUCACGUAAUGCCAAAGAUUUUGAUAAGACGAAAAACAGCAAUGACACCUUAUUUGGCAUUUAGUACGGCUUUUGAGCACAUCAAACAUUUACGACUUACCGCGCCCCGAUUAGUCACAUAUAAUAUUUAUUUCUGUUGGACAUAUAAUUUCUUAACUGUCAUCUAAUUUUUUGUGCAGAUUUUAACAAACUAAGUAAGAGUGCGCCAGUCGAAAUACUCUGUACCUUCUUCUUCAAAAACCAUAUGAAGCUUGUAUAUAAUAAAAUAUUUUCUUUAACUUUACUUCACAGUCAUACCAAAAAUGUUGUUCGCAUGAAAACAAACUGAACUAAAAUAAUAGAAAAAGUAAAAAGCGCCAUAAAAGAUACAAAUGAAAUUGCAAUUCUUAUUAUGUGUAUGCAUGUGUGAACAUGUAUGUAUACGGAAAUUCUUGGACUUUGCGCUAGCUGCUGCAAACACGUGGCCUGCCACAAAACGUUUUCCUUAAUAACUUCUCUGUUUCCUAACCGAUCUUGAUGAAAGUAGAUUCAAUUGUGCUAUAGAAUAUUCCUUUAUUCUCAAAAGGAUAAUAGCACUAACAACGUGGCUGAAAUUGGUCACUCUCAACUAGGAUACUUGUUCUGUAUAUAUGCAUACUAAGCUACAUCUCUCUUGUUUUUCAUUUGUAUUAAAUUUGAAGGUUCCAGUCUAUGAAUUCGAUGCAUAGCUGUGGUACAAACGGACUAUAAUUUGUGAAAAACAAAUAAUUGGGAAUUGUAUCCAUGGAUUCGUGGAUAGAUUUAUGAUCAGUUGGCAGCUCCAGCGAACAACACCUUUAAGCUGCACUUUUCUGUGACAUUCAUUUCAGUCGGCUCCGAGCAAUUCCCUGCCAGAGACACAUUGGAGCAAAAACGAUUGGGCCGGCUACAAAUCAAUUUCAGGUUGACAACUUAACAGUCUAAUCGAAACCAACAAAAUGGUUGCCGCUGUGAAAGAGACCCUGUCUGCGAGUUGGAGUCGGUCGGUCGGUCGGUCGGUCGGUUGGUCGGUCGAGUUGUCGGUGGGUAACGCCAACUCAAUUGACCAGCAGCUGUCUACAUAAAGUCCAAAUACAGUCGCCAGUGGCUCCCCGCCCUUGCCGGAUUCCAGUUUAAGUUUGUGAAAUUGUCAUAUUGCAAGCGCACGCAGGCGCAGCGUAAAUGUUAAAAAUUAUAGUUAAACUCAUAAAUUACCAGCAUAGUCAGCCGCUGAAACCCGUUGCCGUUGCCGUCGCUGUUCUUGUUGGUGUUCAGAUGCGAUCGCUGGGGCCCUGACAGCUCUGGCUCUCUGGUCUUUUAGACAAUUUAAAGGCGGUUCGUACUCAAUAAACCAAAUUCCACACAUAAUUAAUCGAUGCCAAUGCCGAUGCCGAUGCCGUUGCCGAUGCCAAGAGCCGUAGUCGAUGCCAUGAGCUGGCUGCAAAGUCGUCACGCUGUUUGUGCUUUUUACAAUAUUUUGUUUUGAAUUUGAAUGUGGGCUUGAGUGAGUUGGUUCACUUGGCUCGGCUCAGUUGAUACAGAGAGGUGUGCGAGAGGCGAAACUUUUUAAUAGUCGCGCCAUAAUCGUAAAUCUUUUGUGUCCGACGCAGUGCAACGACAUGGCAGCUGCCGGCCAGUUGGGCCAGCAGUUGUGGCAGCUCAGCCACUUGGGGCAGCUGGGGCAGCUGGGGCAGCGGCACUUAUAAAGGAUUGCGAAUAUACCUCUCUACAAAUCGAGCAAAUGUUCACAGCUUAAUUUAUCGCUCGAGAACAUUACAUGCCAAAGACGACGACUAUAAAACGGAUGCUGCCGCAUUAACGACUCUAUGUGAACUCGACUUUCAGUCUACGUUUGGGCAAGUCAUUAUCUAACUCCUUAGUUAUGAUACUUAACACGGCCAGCUACUCUUAGCAAUGCAUAAGACUAGCUUCCAUUGAAGUGACAGACAUUCAUUUUUAAAAUAAAUAUUUAAUAGUCAUGCAUCAAUAUUAUUAUAAAUAUAUUAUUAUUCCCUUCACUUCAUUUAUUCCACGCUAAAUUCUCCAUAUUUUCCCCCACUCGGUAAAUAAGUUGUCGUUUACUUUUUUAAGUGGCCAAUAACAACUUACCCAUAAAACAUACGUCCAGCCCAUAACAAAGCUUCGUUGCAGCCUUGUUGGGCUUGCUGUGCGCGCAUUAUUCAAAUGUCCAUCUAAGUAUCUGUAAGUGUAUCUGUAUCUGUGCAAAGAGUGGCAAGUCUGCAAAAGCAAGGCAAAAGCAAAAGCAAGACAUGAGUAGAAAGAGAUACAACAAGAGCAACAACAACAACAACGACAACGAGUACGACAACGACAUUGUGGAGAACUGUCAGUUGGAGCUGACAUACAAACUGACAGCUUGAAAUUGAGGUUUUCUCCACGCUGACAGCGUAACACGUCAACUUAAGGAGGCAUAAGGCCGAGUGCCUGUCUAGAUACAAAUAGACAGCCCGGGCCGGGCCGAGCCGGGCUAGGCCAGGCUAGGCCAGGCCAGCAGAGAGUCGGAGGGAUUGGACUAGAGUGAAGCAUAGUAAAGUCGGGCAACGUGAAAAGAUAGUCGAGGAGUAGCAAGGAAGCACUGAACGGAACGGAAUGGAAUGGAAUGGGACGGGACAGCUAGAGAGCAUCGUCAGCAGCCGCAGACGGCAGGCAAUUUGACAGCUUAAACACACGAGCAUGUCAAAAUGAUAUGAUCGCUAAGUGAGCUCAAGCACUGCAUAGAUACAAAAUCAAGUACGAGUAUGAGUGCGAGUGUGAGUACUUUAACUCACUCACAUACCAACAACACAGGCUGUCAGCGCUCCCAGGCGUCGUUGAGGACCGGCUCUGGUUCUGGGUCUGGGUCUGGGUCUGGGGCUGGGUCUUGGUCUCGAGUUUAUCUCGGCUUUUCAGUUAGUUGUUCAGCAUGCGUGUUGCUUUUCAUGUUUACAUUAAUAAAAGUCAAAGGUUCUUGAAACUGA